rnacentral:rRNA from 1 species
GACGAACGCUGGCGGCGUGCCUAACACAUGCAAGUCGAGCGGAGUCAGUAAGAGGAAGUUUUCGGAUGGAAUCUUAUUGAUUUAGCGGCGGACGGGUGAGUAACGCGUGAGCGACCAACCUUGCACAGGGGGAUAACGGACCGAAAGGUUCACUAAUACCGCAUGAGACCACGGUGUUGCAUGACACAGUGGUCAAAGGAGCAAUCCGGUGCAAGACGGGCUCGCGUCCGAUUAGGUAGUUGGAGGGGUAACGGCCCACCAAGCCUAUGAUCGGUAGCCGACCUGAGAGGGUGAUCGGCCACAUUGGAACUGAGAUACGGUCCAAACUCCUACGGGAGGCAGCAGUGGGGAAUAUUGGGCAAUGGGGGAAACCCUGACCCAGCAACGCCGCGUGAAGGAAGAAGGUUUUCGGAUCGUAAACUUCUGUCCUUGGUGAAGAGAAGAAGACGGUAGCCAAGGAGGAAGCCCCGGCUAACUACGUGCCAGCCGCCGCAGUAA